CAGCAGCCGCGGUAACACGUAGGGUGCGAGCGUUAAUGGGAAUUACUGGGCGUAAAGCGAGCGCAGACGGUUAUUUAAGCAGGAUGUGAAAUCCCCGGGCUUAACCUGGGAACUGCGUUCUGAACUGGAUAGCUAGAGUGUGUCAGAGGGGGGUAGAAUUCCACGUGUAGCAGUGAAAUGCGUAGAUAUGUGGAGGAAUACCGAUGGCGAAGGCAGCCCCCUGGGAUAACACCGACGCUCAUGCACGAAAGCGUGGGGAGCAAACAGGAUUAGAUACCCGCGUAGUCCCUGUCUCUUAUAC
rnacentral:rRNA from 1 species